rnacentral:rRNA from 1 species
UACAGAGGGGGCCAGCGUUAUUCGGAAUUAUUGGGCGUAAAGGGCGCGUAGGCGGCCAUGCGUGUCUUUCGUGAAAUCCCUCGGCUUAACUGAGGACGUGCGGAAGAAACUGCAAGGCUUGAGUCUCGGAGAGGUUGGUGGAAUUCUCGGUGUAGAGGUGAAAUUCGUAGAUAUCGAGAGGAACACCGGUGGCGAAGGCGGCCUGCUGGGCAGUGGCUGACACUGAGGCGCGACAGCGUGGGGAGCAAACAGG